rnacentral:lncRNA from 1 species
CCUGUCUCGUCCCCAGUGGCUUUUCCAGAACUACUGCCUUCACCAUGAAGCUCCAUGAGCUUUCCCAAAUUUAUUGACCACUUCUUUCAAGUCAUUUGUCUGCACCUCUCGGAUCAUGAUUUCCAUCAUCUUCUUCCGGAUUUGGCGGACCUGUUGGUGCUGAGCAGGCAGUUUUUACCCUGAACAUCUUCAGUAAUCAGCUUGAAUUUUCUAAAUGCA